rnacentral:rRNA from 1 species
AGUGAACGCUGGCGGUAGGCCUAACACAUGCAAGUCGAACGGCAGCACAGUAAGAGCUUGCUCUUACGGGUGGCGAGUGGCGGACGGGUGAGGAAUACAUCGGAAUCUACUUUUUCGUGGGGGAUAACGUAGGGAAACUUACGCUAAUACCGCAUACGACCUACGGGUGAAAGCAGGGGAUCUUCGGACCUUGCGCGAUUGAAUGAGCCGAUGUCGGAUUAGCUAGUUGGCGGGGUAAAGGCCCACCAAGGCGACGAUCCGUAGCUGGUCUGAGAGGAUGAUCAGCCACACUAGAACUGAGACACGGUCCAGACUCCUACGGGAGGCAGCAGUUGGGAAUAUUGGACAAUGGGCGCAAGCCUGAUCCAGCCAUACCGCGUGGGUGAAGAAGGCCUUCGGGUUGUAAAGCCCUUUUGUUGGGAAAGAAAAGCAGCAGGUUAAUACCCCGCUGUUCUGACGGUACCCAAAGAAUAAGCACCGGCUAACUUCGUG